CGCGUAGGUGGUUCUGUAUGUCUAUCGUGAAAGCGUACGGCUCAACCGUAUUUUGUCGGUAGAAACUGCAGGACUUGAGGCUGGGAGGGGCUGGUGGAAUUCCCUGUGUAGCGGUGAAAUGCGUAGAGAUGGGGGAGAACACUCGUGGCGAAGGCGGCCAGCUAGACCAGUUCUGACACUGAGGCGCGACAGCGUGGGAGCAAACA
rnacentral:rRNA from 1 species